AUGACCUGAGCCAAAAUCAAGAGGUGGACGCUUAACCGACUGAGCCACCCAGGUGUCCUGAAGAAGCUGUGAUUUAAAUAAUAAGGAUUUCUCGGAGCAGCAAAGGGCCAGAGGCCGACAGGGCUGUGCUUUCUGAGUUUCUGGCCCCUUUGGAGGAGACGGGGGUGGGAAUGUCGCAUCAGGCUUGCUCUGGAGCUGUUAUUACCGUCCAUGCUGUCACGUAGUGGUUUGUCCUAGAUGCCUCUGUCCUACGGGAGUGUCAGCUGGUCGGAGCGGAAGGAAGGAAGGCGGGAACACACGAAUGCUACGGUGCCCGAGAAUUGUCCAUCUUUGUGCUCUAUAGUCCUCUGGAAGUCCAGAUCUUCCGGGUAUUAAAGAAAACAAGAAAAUCUGGAGGAAACUACCUGGCACCACCUACUCCUUUCUGUUUAAUAGAGAUUGAAGAUAGUUGGCCAUCUGGAAAAGACACCGGGAAACAGAGGGGACUUUGUCCCCGAGCUGGGCUCUGAGCCUUUAUGAAAUGGGUCCUGAUAUCAAGAAGAAUGUCUUGCUCGAAGCCAGUUUCGUUCGGGGUGAAGUCUGCCCUUGAAGUUCCUCUGCUGACCUGACUCUGUGUGCAGGUGGGGCGGGACGGAUGGAGAACCUUGGCCAACGGCCCACCCACCUUGGGUCCCUUUCUGUAACCACGAGGGCUACGUGGAACUACAACUGUAGGUCUUGUGGAAGUGAAAACUGUAGUGGUCCCCACCCCCCAUGUUUAUUUUGGGGCUUCUGGUUUGGGACUCACCUCACCUAUCUGAAGGACUGGCUUGAAGUGGACUUAUUUGGGACCUUUCUUUAGAGAACUCAAAAGCCUUUGUUUGUAGCCGUAUCUUCUUUGAUAAUACCGACUGACAUUAGAAGCAGAGAUAGCUUCAACGACAGUUUUCCACAACUCACGUUUUUUUGUCCCAACCUCUGUGGUCACUAGCAGAACUGCCCUGAGUUCGGGUCUCAUUCCCAGAAUGUAGCCUGGGUAUAAAAACCUGGGGCCAGGAAGGUCUGAGCCACUGGUGGUUGGACCUGUGGUAUCACCAGAGCUAAAUCGAAACACAGAUGAUAACAACUGCCCUCCUCACUCCCCCACCCUUCGGAAGAGCAGAAACUGAACUUGAAGCUGCUGAGAGCUAUAAAGAGUGUUUAACUUCUUUUAUUAUGCUCAGAGAGCACACGCGAGUGGGGUAGAGGGGCAAAGGGAGAGAGAGAGAGA